rnacentral:lncRNA from 1 species
AGAGGCUGGAGGAGACGCUGUUGAACAGGGCGCACUUCUCCGGGCAGGAGGCAGCCGGGGGCAGCCCGGCGCUGAACGGGUAGCCGGCCGCCUGCUCGUAGGCGCCAAGCGCCGGGUGCAGGGCAGCAGCUGCUGCCGCUGCAGCAGCCGAGCUGGGCAGGGAGGCAGCCGAGAUGGCUUGGCCCUGGUUGAGGGCAAUGAAAACACAUCUGCCCGGUGUCUCGUUACUUGGUUUAAUCGUCGCCAGCCCUAAGUCACGGCCUGGGCUCCUUCUCCUCAACUGUGUGGGAUCCCGCCGCCUGGUUUCGGCCGGGCAGAGGGGUGACGUCAGCCGCUCACACAGUGCCCCCUGGCCGCUGGAGCUCGGGAAAUCUGUGCACUCGAACUUGGCUCCGCCAAGAAGGUGGGCAAGGAUCCGGGCUCCUGAUGGAACUGAACAUUCUAAAAAGUAAAAACAAAGUUUGGCAAAAAUGACAACUUUUGCUUGAGAACAGCUCUGGAAAAGCGAAUCCACUGAGAGCCGUGGGAAUUCUCCGCCAGCUGUGCUUCCCUAGCCGAGGAGGAAUCCAACCCGGAAUACCAUUUCUGGUCCCCACCGCGGAGGCCCCAGCUGGACCCUCUCCCGAAAACUGCUCGGGGAGGGGCGUGCGGUCUCAGCGCCCUCCACUGCAGGGUCCAAGCCUCAGUAGCCGGGCGCGACCUCAGCGCUCCAAGCCCAGCAUUCUUGGCAGCCCUCCAGGCCGGAGUCAGAGGCACAUUGACCUUGAAGUUACACUUGAUGCGUCCACCUGGGGCUGCCUGGUGGCGCCUGGGUCAGCUUGAAACCCGCGGGACUGAGGGGGCUAGGUGUGAGGUUCACCCUCCUGCGCCCCCGCGGGAUUUGGGAGCACGGGAUCUACCCGGAGGCAGAGAGACUCCAGCCCAUCAAGCGCCAGAGGUCAAGCCUUUCGGCGUCGUUUUGUCGUGUAUAUUUUCUCAUCCCCUUCCCCAAGUCCUACAAAGCUCACUUCAGAGAGACUGGGUCCACAUAUGUGGGCUCAUGAAGAGGAGGACAGCGAGGGUGACGACGCUGGGGGACUAGCGCGAGCUGGCCUAUUCCUGGCAGUGCGCCAAGGGUCCCCCGUCUUGUUGGUCUUUCCAAGUUGCUUGGCUAUUCCAAAACUCGACUGUGGAAAAGUUGAAACUUGUUCAUAUAACGUUCUUUAGAAAAGAUUAUCCUUGUCUGUAUCUAUUUUACAGAAAAGAUGUUGGUCCUCACUACUGUUUGGCGACGAGUUAGCCUAAAUUUGGACAGACCUUGAAGAGAAACCCUGAGCCCCGGGAGGCAGCCUUUUCAGCGCAAGGUGCACACACAGGUCCCCCAGCCCACUGCGAGGGUCUCACCUGGCUCCCGCGUGCUCUUUCCCCACUUUGGCGACUUUGAAGGCCAAGGGGACCGUACAGUGAGUGAAUAACUUGGCGCCUGCAUUAUCACUGCUGAAAUCCCAGAGAACAAUGUAGGACAUGCGGGUGGAGGUAGAGCAAAACUAGUGAAAAGAAUAUAUGAGGAAUUCACAAUCGCCUUGCCUACUUGGGACAACUCCUUCAUUCAGUUGUCCGCCCUAGGGGACUGUUAGGCUUAUUUGUGUCACAUGCGUCUCUUCCCUGGAAUCUUAUCAUCACAGAAUAUUAAACAUUUGAAAAAAUUUUAAAGAUUAAACUUGUUCGAGGUAAAAAUGGUAAACACUGUUAGGGAUUGCCUGGCGUGUACGAAUUAAGGAAAGAAAGAAACUGAAAAUUCAGCUCGGCUUUGGGAAGUUUAGCUUUGCGAUUUAAAACCCACAGCGCCAUCUCCUGGUAAUAAGGAGAAUAUAGCGAUGGAUGACAAUACUGAAAUGCUGACUAUGAAAUACUCAAAUGAGAGAAACGCCUCAAAAAUUAUUUCAACGAUAGGUUGAUUAUGAUUACAAAACAUGAUCUGACAUGGACAUUUAUUAUCAUUAAAAGUUAUCAGACAGAAUCCUGGAAGCUAAUGAUUUGUAAAUAGAAGUUUGUAUAUUUAUACAUACAUAUAUUUUAUAGAUUCAGAUGCUUAUGCUGUGAAUUUAUGAUAAGAUAUGAUUCUAUAAUUUAUCACAAAUACAUAAUUUUAUAAAAC